CAACAUAUAACAAACGGUGACUAAUUUUUCAUUUAUUUCUUCUCUUCCCAAACCCUUAGUUUUGCCACCGCACCUCGCAAACCGGAGCAACCAUUGCCGAUCGGAGCACCGGUAGUCGCUGACACAGAAGAGGGAAAAAAUGGGACAAAAAGGGAACCCAUUUAUAUCCAACAUUUGAAAGCCCAAAAGUCGACCGACUAUUUCCUUGGUUUUCCUUCCAUAAUCUUCGACGUUUAUUAGCACACAUUCGAAAAUCGCCAGCAUUUCAAUUCUCUCUUUGCAACUUGACAGUGGGUUAUUCCCAGUCUUCAUAUCAACGUAAAUGAAAAGGGGUUUUUAUGAUGUUCCUUCCAAUGUUGGAGUUUAGGGGUUUGUUAAAUUUGCUGUCUAAGUCGCAUAUAGGUGAUGGUAUGAAGUCAAUUUUGUUGGUCUUUUUUUCUUGAAUGUGUAAUGGAGAAUUCUUGUUGGGUUUGCUGCAUACCCUAUACUUGUGUAUUGAAAAUUAAAUGUUGGUGGCAUUUGAAUUUUCCAUCGUCAAAUUUGGAGUAGAGUAUAGACACUUCAAUCUUGGACGUAAAUUUUUGUUUAACUAAUUGCACGUUUUCUUUUUGUGAAAUUAUUCAGACUUUUAUUACAUUUUAUUUAAGUUAUUCUUUGACAUUUGUUGUUCCUCUAAUGGGUUUAGUGUUGCAAUCUUGGUUGUUUUCAUUCCUAUUUCUUCCAUAAGGCACUUCGAUGUUGAAUGUUAUCAAUUAACUGAAGGGGCUAAAUAAAAGCAGCUUAUUCAGAAUGCCCAGAAGGAACUUCGGAAUCUGUCAUAGUUGUAGAGCUAAAGACCAUUUGUUUGCCGAAUACAAAAGAAAACGCCCUUGCCCACGAUGUAAGCAUGGAUUUGAGAAAUGUUUUGUGGUGAAGAAGGAGAAUCACAAUAAGGGGAAACUAUUCCUUUGUUGCAGCCAAAAUUGUGGAUUUUAGGAGUGGGUCGUAAAAUAAGACUCAAGCAGUCAAUGUAGUAGCAAUAGCGUAACGGUCGUUAACCCCACGAUGAACGACAUUGAUGAAGAAAUAUCUUGCAUAUUCAAAUCUCAGGUACUGAUAAGAGACGAAGAGGAGCUCAGAUUUCCGUGAAUGUGAGCAUCAAGAUGGAGAAAAUUGUUGUAGACGUGGACGGUAAGGGAAGCGGCUAACUUGACUUGAAGAUACUUAUCGAAGCUUUUUUCGAUGAAAAAUGAAUCAGCUUGUCCUUCAUUAUUUCUAGAGGCUGAAAGUCUUGUAUGUGAUGAAUUAAGUCAAGUAGUUGAGCUUUGUGGUACGAGAUUGUAGAUCAUGAUAGCUUCGUAUCUAAAGAAGCUUCUUUUGUAGACAUUCUGACUAUGCUAAUUACGUGCACUUUAUGCUAA